AUCUACACACUGCAUAUCGUCGGCAGCGUCAGAUGUGUAUAAGAGACAGGUAAUAGUCCUGUAUGUUAAACGAGAAGACUUCAGAUAUGAUCCAGAGUACCACGGGACACGUGAAACCCUGUGGGAAGCAGGAGGGACCACCCUCCAAGGCUAAAUACUACCUAGUGACCGAUAGCGUAUAGUACCGUGAGGGAAAGGUGAAAAGAACCCCGGGAGGGGAGUGAAAUAGAACCUGAAACCCUGCACUUACAAGCUGUGGAAGCACAUUUCUUGUGUGACCGCGUACUUUUUGUAGAACGGGCCAACGAGUUACGUUAAGUAGCAAGGUUAAGCACUUAAGGUGCGGAGCCGUAGCGAAAGCGAGUUUUAACUGAGCGUUCAGUUACUUGACGUAGACCCGAAACCGGGCGACCUACCCAUGAGCAGGAUGAAGCGAAAGUAAAAUUUCGUGGAGGUCCGAACCCACGAGCGUUGAAAAGCUCGGGGAUGACUUGUGGGUAGCGGUGAAAUUCCAAUCGAGCCCGGAGAUAGCUGGUUCUCCCCGAAAUAGCUUUAGGGCUAGCCUCAAGGUGAGAGAUACGGAGGUAGAGCACUGAAUGUCCUAGGGGGUAUUGCACCUACCGAAGACUAUCAAACUCCGAAUGCCGUCAUCUUAUACUUGGGAGUCAGACUGUGGGUGAUAAGAUUCAUAGUCGAAAGGGCAACAGCCCAGAUCGUCAGCUAAGGUCCCUAAAUGUAAGUUAAGUGGUAAAGGAUGUGGGAUUGCACAGACAACCAGGAUGUUGGCUUAGAAGCAGCCACUCAUUCAAAGAGUGCGUAAUAGCUCACUGGUCGAGUGAUCCUGCGCCGAAGAUUUCCGGGGCUAAAACUUACUACCGAAGCUACGGCAUCAGUAAUGAUGGGUAGGGGAGCUUCCCAUACGGGUUGAAGCAUGACCGUAAGGACAUGUGGACAGUAUGGGAGUGAGAAUGUUGGCAUGAGUAGCGAGAUGUGGGUGAGAAUCCCACAGGCCGUAAACCCAAGGUUUCCAGGGGAAGGUUCGUCCGCCCUGGGUUAGUCGGGACCUAAGCUGAGGCCGAAAGGCGUAGGUGAUGGACAACAGGUUGAUAUUCCUGUACUACCGAUAACCGUUUGAGAGAAGGGAUGACACAGUAGGAUAAGCUAAGCACACUGUUGGUUAUGUGUGCCCAAGCAUUGAGGCAGUCAAAGCAGGCAAAUCCGCUUUGAUAAUGCUGGGAUGUGAUGGGGAGCGAAAUUUAGUAGCGAAGUAGCUGAUUUCACACUGUCAAGAAAAGUCUCUAUCGAGGUUAAAGGUACCCGUACCGCAAACCGACACAGGUGGGUGAGGAGAGUAUCCUAAGGCCAGCGAGAGAACUGUUGUUAAGGAACUCGGCAAAAUGACCCCGUAACUUAGGGAUAAGGGGUGCCACCAUCCGGUGGCCGCAGAGAAUAGGCCCAAGCGACUGUUUACCAAAAACAUAGGUUUCUGCUAAGUCGCAAGACGAUGUAUAGGAGCUGACGCCUGCCCGGUGCUGGAAGGUUAAGGGGAUCUGUUAGAGCAAUCGAAGCAGUGAACUUAAGCCCCAGUAAACGGCGGCCGUAACUAUAACGGUCCUAAGGUAGCGAAAUUCCUUGUCGGGUAAGUUCCGACCCGCACGAAAGGCGUAACGAUUUGGGCACUGUCUCAACAACAGACUCGGUGAAAUUGUAAUUCCGGUGAAGAUGCCGGAUACCUGCGACAGGACGGAAAGACCCCAUGGAGCUUUACUGUAGCUUGACAUUGGGUCUUGGUACUACAUGUACAGGAUAGGUGGGAGGCUUUGAAACCAGGACGCCAGUUUUGGCGGAGCCAUCCUUGGGAUACCACCCUUGUAGUACUGGGACUCUAACCAUAGGCCAUGAAUCUGGUCUUGGGACACUGUCAGGUGGGCAGUUUGACUGGGGCGGUCGCCUCCCAAAAGGUAACGGAGGCGCUCAAAGGUUCUCUCAGUACGGUCGGAAAUCGUACGUAGAGUGUAAAGGCAAAAGAGAGCUUGAUUGCAAGACAUACAGGUCGAGCAAGGAUGAAAAUCGGACUUAGUGAUCCGGUGGUUCUGCGUGGAAGGGCCAUCGCUCAACGGAUAAAAGCUACCCUGGGGAUAACAGGCUUAUCUCCCCCAAGAGUCCACAUCGACGGGGAGGUUUGGCACCUCGAUGUCGGCUCAUCACAUCCUGGGGCUGUAGUAGGUCCCAAGGGUUGGGCUGUUCGCCCAUUAAAGUGGUACGCGAGCUGGGUUCAGAACGUCGUGAGACAGUUCGGUCCCUAUCCGUCGCAGGCGUAGGAAAUUUGAGAAGACCUGUCCUUAGUACGAGAGGACCGGGAUGGACGUACCUCUGGUGUACCAGUUGUUCUGCCAAGGGCAUGGCUGGGUAGCUAUGUACGGAAUGGAUAAGCGCUGAAAGCAUCUAAGCGCGAAGCCAACUUCAAGAUAAGAUUUCCCACCGCAAGGGUAAGACCCCAGAAAGACUAUCUGGUUGAUAGGUCGAAGGUGUAAGUGCAGCAAUGUAUUUAGCUUAUCGAUACUAAUAGGUCGAGGACUUGACCAA
rnacentral:rRNA from 1 species